ACUCCUACGGGAGGCAGCAGUGGGGAAUAUUGCACAAUGGGCGCAAGCCUGAUGCAGCCAUGCCGCGUGUGUGAAGAAGGCCUUCGGGUUGUAAAGCACUUUCAGUCGUGAGGAAGGUAGUGUAGUUAAUAGCUGCAUUAUUUGUACGUUAGCGACAGAAGAAGCACCGGCUAACUCCGUGCCAGCAGCCGCGGUAAUACGGAGGGUGCGAGCGUUAAUCGGAAUUACUGGGCGUAAAGCGCAUGCAGGUGGUUUGUUAAGUCAGAUGUGAAAGCCCGGGGCGUCAACCUCGGAAUAGCAUUUGAAACUGGCAGACUAGAGUACUGUAGAGGGGGGUAGAAUUUCAGGUGUAGCGGUGAAAUGCGUAGAGAUCUGAAGGAAUACCGGUGGCGAAGGCGGCCCCCUGGACAGAUACUGACACUCAGAUGCGAAAGCGU
rnacentral:rRNA from 1 species